rnacentral:rRNA from 1 species
AUUGAACGCUAGCGGCAGGCUUAACACAUGCAAGUCGAGCGGAGAUGAGGUGCUUGCACCUUAUCUUAGCGGCGGACGGGUGAGUAACACGUGGGCAACCUGCCUGUAAGACUGGGAUAACACCGGGAAACCGGUGCUAAUACCGGAUAAUCCUUUUCCUCUCAUGAGGAAAAGCUGAAAGACGGUUUCGGCUGUCACUUACAGAUGGGCCCGCGGCGCAUUAGCUAGUUGGUGAGGUAACGGCUCACCAAGGCGACGAUGCGUAGCCGACCUGAGAGGGUGAUCGGCCACACUGGGACUGAGACACGGCCCAGACUCCUACGGGAGGCAGCAGUAGGGAAUCUUCCACAAUGGACGAAAGUCUGAUGGAGCAACGCCGCGUGAGCGAUGAAGGCCUUCGGGUCGUAAAGCUCUGUUGUUAGGGAAGAACAAGUACCGGAGUAACUGCCGGUACCUUGACGGUACCUAGCCAGAAAGCCACGGCUAACUACGUGCCAGCCGCCGCAGUAACAC